ACAAUUUAGUUUAAUAUUCAUUCCAUUUGGCGGGCAUAUGUGUUUACUCCAAUAUUUGGAGUGCUGGGUUAUUGGUGUGCUUCUUUUGUCUCUGAUGUUUCAAUGUAAAGUGGGUAGCAGGAUGGGCAUGGAUUGUGCUUUUGCUUGCUGUUGAAAGAAGAGGAACGGAAGAGCAUGUAGGCAUUGGAAGAUAAUUCAAGAGAUGAAGCUGACAAGGAGAUCAUGACUACUGUAAAAUGUAUGUUGAUGUUCCAAGCCCCGGGAUUGGCCACUAAAGUCAGACAGAAGCAGAUGAUGGGUAUUUCAAAACCAGGUAAACUUUCUUUUUUUAAGCAAUCAAGUAUGCAUUUAGUUCCUUCUGCAUAGUGCCUUGUAUAAGUUUAUAAAUGAGAUGUUAGUUGAUUGGUCAGAUAUAGUAAAGGAAACCGCAAAUUCUUUAAGCGAGAAUAUUGUAUGGAGCAGAAACGAAGAAACUUCACCUCAGGGGCCCACGCUUCAAAUAUUCCCAAAAUUAUAUUUUGAGCUUGCAAACCCAUGUAAGGUUCAGUUGAAGUUAAUGAUAUGUAGCCAAAAAAAAAAAGGCCUAAGAAAACCUUCUUUAAGUGGUUGGACUUUUACUUUCAUUUUGCAGAUUGGUUUGUUCAUUGACUGCAAAUUUUUUCUGCUUUGUUAAUUGAAGAAAGAACAUGCAUUUUGUGGGUUAGUAAUCAAGAGGAAUAUUCUUUCUCUAGAAUUACUUCCAAUUGCAACCAUUGGGGUUAUUGGUACUUUGAUAGUCUGUUGGGUGGGUUGCCAUUAAUACCAUAGCCCAAAAUAGCUCUUCCUUUUAAAGGAGUACUAUGCAUAUUUUUUAUUGGUUCAAUUUUCUCUGCUUA